AUUGAACGCUGGCGGCAUGCCUUACACAUGCAAGUCGAACGGCAGCACGGGACCUUGCUCCUGGUGGCGAGUGGCGAACGGGUGAGUAAUACAUCGGAACGUACCCUGAAGUGGGGGAUAACGUAGCGAAAGUUACGCUAAUACCGCAUAUUCUGUGAGCAGGAAAGAGGGGGAUCGCAAGACCUCUUGCUUUAGGAGCGGCCGAUGUCGGAUUAGCUAGUUGGUGAGGUAAAGGCUCACCAAGGCGACGAUCCGUAGCGGGUCUGAGAGGAUGAUCCGCCACACUGGGACUGAGACACGGCCCAGACUCCUACGGGAGGCAGCAGUGGGGAAUUUUGGACAAUGGGCGCAAGCCUGAUCCAGCCAUGCCGCGUGAGUGAAGAAGGCC
rnacentral:rRNA from 1 species